UACGUAGGGGGCAAGCGUUGUCCGGAUUUAUUGGGCGUAAAGAGCGUGUAGGCGGUUAGGUAGGUCCGUUGUGAAAACUCGAGGCUCAACCUCGAGACGCCGAUGGAAACCAUCUAACUAGAGUCCGGAAGAGGAGAGUGGAAUUCCUGGUGUAGCGGUGAAAUGCGCAGAUAUCAGGAGGAACACCGGUGGCGAAGGCGGUUCUCUGGGAAUAUCCUGACGCUGAGACGCGAAAGCGUGGGGAGCGAACAGG
rnacentral:rRNA from 1 species